AUUGAACGCUAGCGGGAUGCCUUACACAUGCAAGUCGAACGGAGUGGCGAACGGGUGAGUAAUGUAUCGGAACGUGCCCAGUAGCGGGGGAUAACUACGCGAAGGCGUAGCAAAUACCGCAUACUUUUGGGGGGGCCGAUAUCGGCUUAGCUAGUUGGUGGGGUAAAGGCUCACCAAGGGGACGACCCGUAGCUGGUUUGAGAGGACGACCAGCCACACUGGGACUGAGACACGGCCCAGACUCCUACGGGAGGCAGCAGUGGGGAAUUUUGGACAAUGGGGGAAACCCUGAUCCAGCCAUCCCGCGUGUGCGAUGAAGGCCUUCGGGUUGUAAAGCACUUUUGGCAGGAAAGCGGUACCUGCAGAAUAAGCACCGGCUAACUACGUGCCAGCAGCCGCGGUAAUAC
rnacentral:rRNA from 1 species